CCAAGGCGUAAUAUUUCGGCAUAUAAAAAUGAUGGCAGUAAGCAAGAUGUCAAAGACUUUGAACCAAGGUCCAACAUUUCAGCUUAUGGAGACAAUGACAUUGAUGUAAAAGAAAAGAAUGGAGCCAUUAAAGAUUUUGAACCUAGACCUAAUAUUUCAGCUUAUGGAGAAAAUGUCAUUGAUGCUGAUGAAAAGAAGAAACCAGUCAAAGAUUUUGAACCAAGACCCAAUAUUUCAGCUUAUGGAGACAAUGACAUUGAUGUUAAGGAAAAUAAGGGAGCCACCAACGAUUUUGAGCCAAGACCCAACAUUUCAGCUUAUGGAGACAAUGUCAUUGAUGAUAAUAAAAUGAAGAAACCAGUUGAAUAUUUCCAACCAAGACCAAACAUUUCAGCUUAUGGAGAAAAUGACAUUGAUGUUAAAAAAAGUAAAGAUUUUGAACCAAGACCCAACAUUUCAGCUUUUGGAGACAAUGACAUUGAUGUUAAUGAAAAGAAGGGAGAUACUAAAGAUUUCGAACCAAGACCAAAUAUUUCAGCUUAUGGAGACAAUGCCAUUGAUGAUGAUGAAAUGAAGAAACCAAUUAAAGAUUUUAAACCAAAACCAAACAUUUCGGCUUAUGGAGACAAUGUCAUUGAUGCUGAUGAAAUGAAGAAACCAGUCGAAGGUUUUGAACCAAGACCAAACAUUUCAACUUAUGGAGACAAUGUCAUUGAUGUUGAUGAAAUGAAGAAACAACAAGUCAAAGAUUUUGAACCAAGAACCAACAUUUCAGCUUAUGGAGACAAUGACAUUGAUGUUAAAGAAAAGAAGGGAGUCACCAACGAUUUUGAGCCAAGACCCAACAUUUCAGCUUAUGGAGACAAUGUCAUUGAUGCUAAUAAAAUGAAGAAACCAGUUGACGAUUUCCAACCAAGACCAACUAUUUCAGCUUAUGGAGACAAUGCCAUUGAUAAUAGUAAAACGAAUGAAGUCAUCAAAGAUUUUGAAUCAAGACCCAACAUUUCAGCUUACGGUAACAAUGAAGUUGACACUAAGAAAAAAGAAAAAGCUGCCAAAGAUUUUGAACAAAGACCCAUUAUUUCAGCUUAGGAAGACA
rnacentral:lncRNA from 1 species